rnacentral:rRNA from 1 species
AUAUUGGUCAAUGGAGGCAACUCUGAACCAGCCAUGCCGCGUGCAGGAAGAAUGUCCUAUGGAUUGUAAACUGCUUUUGUACGGGAAGAAAAAGAGCUACGCGUAGUUUAUUGACGGUACCGUAAGAAUAAGGAUCGGCUAACUCCGUGCCAGCAGCCGCGGUAAUACGGAGGAUCCGAGCGUUAUCCGGAAUCAUUGGGUUUAAAGGGUCCGUAGGCGGCUAUAUAAGUCAGCGGUGAAAGUUUUUGGCUUAACCAAAAAAUUGCCGUUGAUACUGUAUUGCUUGAAUAUUUGUGAAGUAACUAGAAUAUGUAGUGUAGCGGUGAAAUGCUUAGAUAUUACAUGGAAUACCAAUUGCGCAGGCAGGUUACUAACAAAUUAUUGACGCUGAUGGACGAAAGCGUGGGUAGCGAACAGG